ACGGUGCGGAUGGUGGUGGCCUGCGAGGCUCAUUUCUAGCAAGGAACAAGGCUUUCCCGCUUUGAUUUUAUAAAUAUUAUGUUUACAAAGCUGUAAUAUAUAGAAAUUGAUAAGACGUGUCCCUGUCCCUGGAAACGCAGGCACCGCGUGUUUGGAAAGACAUUCAUCUGGGCUGUUUGACAGACUCCCCAGUUGGUGCCAUGCUCUGUGCUUAGGGAACUGUGAGACCCCUGGAGGGGUGGGUACCGGGACCGCACUCAGCCUGGGGUUUGGAGGCGGCCUCCUAUAGGAAGCGACCUGGGACCUAAGAUUUUUAGACUGACUGUGGGUUCACUGGAAUAAAAAGGAAGAAACAAAGAGCAUUGCAGGCAUCGGGACUGUCACAUUUGACAAGAUCAAAGCUGCAGGAAAAUGGACAGUGAGGUUCAGAGAGAUGGAAGGAUCUUGGAUUUGAUUGAUGAUGCUUGGCGAGAAGACAAGCUGCCUUAUGAGGAUGUCGCAAUACCACUGGUAGGUUAUGAUUUGAGCUGAGGAUGGGUUAAAGGUAUUGAUCUGGCAGUAACUAGUGGAGGAG
rnacentral:lncRNA from 10 species